CUUCCCCGCGCGGCCCCGCGUGUUUUGCCGCGCGCGCCAAUACAUCGAUCGUCCUAUACAUCGCGGCGUCCUCCAAUCAUCUCGACGCCUCUGAUCAUCUCGACGCCGCCGGGCCUUGUAUCUGAAACUCGACGCCUCCAAUCAUCGCAGCCAUCAGGAGCCGGCACCUCCAUCCCGAUCCGCACGCUGGAAGGAGACGGAUCGAGGAGGGGCGUGGAUCGACGAGGACUGCUGGUGUAGCAAUUGCAAUGGAAGGGGGGGAAUUUUUGACUGACAUCCUUUGCAACGGAGUUCACAAUGAAGUUGAUGGUGAUCUUGCUGGUCUCGACGAUUUCGAGAUUCCGAUGACCCAAGAAACACAGUAUGAAGAUGUGGAAGAGGUCCAGGCUACUCGCAGCUCAAAUAAAUCCAAGAGGUCCAAGAACUUUUUUUUAAGGAAGAUGAAGUUAUAUGCGAUGGAUGGCUGUACGUUAGCAAGGAUCCAAUUCACGGUGCCAAUCAAACUCGUGCAUCAUUUUGGAAGAAAGUUCAUGCUUAUUUUCUGAAGAACAAGAAGACUGAUGCUGUGAGGACACAAAGUUCCAUUAUGCACAGGUGGCUUACAAUUCAGCUGCAAGUGAACAAGUAUUGUUCAUGCGUAGAGGCUAUUGAACGUAGGAAUCAGAGUGGCAUGACUAUCGAAAACAAGCCUCGAAGAUGUACACCGCACUAGACAAAGAAAAGAAGUCAUUCACGCUUAUCCAUUGUUAUGACAUACUGAAGAAGGAGGACAAGUGGGCAGCUAGGAGGGUGCACCUUGCCAAUCUGGAGAAACAACAAAAGAAUAAAGAGAAGAACAGCAAGAAGCGCAACAAAACAUCGAGCCCAAGAGGUGAGGAAUCACCCAUCCAAGAAGUAGCAAUAGAUGUAGAUGAUGAGCCGGCGGAACCUAUCAAGAAGGCAGUCGGGAUCAAGAAGACAAAGCAAAAUCUUAGGCGAGGGGACAAAAAAAUAGAUCGACUAUUCCACAGUAUAUCAUGAUUACAUAUAUUUUUAAACAACAGGACAAAAAACCUAAAGUACUCAUUGCAUAUAUUUUUAAAUUCGGUAGCUAUAUAAAUCAGGGUGAUUGUUCCAGAGGUGCU